UACAAAAAAACUAUUAAGUAUUUUACAAAUUAGCCGGUCUAAUGCUAAAUUGCAUAUGUAAAUAUUUUUUUCUUUUCAUUUAGAGACCUAUUUUGAUAUUCUAAGAAAACGAUAUACAGUUAUAAUAAUUGACAUUUUUGGAUUUGAGAAAAUUAAAUACUCUGAAUUGUGUCUCAUAAAAUAGAAAAGCCAUCAGUUUCUGCAAUG